AGGACGAACGCUGGCGGCGUGCUUAACACAUGCAAGUCGAGCGAACCUUCGGGUUAGCGGCGAACGGGUGAGUAACACGUGGGCAACCUGCCCCGAGCUCUGGGAUAACUCCGGGAAACCGGGGCUAAUACCGGAUAUGACCCGAGAAGACAUCUUCUCGGGUGGAAAGUUUUUCGGCUCGGGAUGGGCCCGCGGCCUAUCAGCUUGUUGGUGGGGUAACGGCCUACCAAGGCGACGACGGGUAGCCGGCCUGAGAGGGCGACCGGCCACACUGGGACUGAGACACGGCCCAGACUCCUACGGGAGGCAGCAGUGGGGAAUAUUGCGCAAUGGGCGAAAGCCUGACGCAGCGACGCCGCGUGAGGGAUGAAGGCCUUCGGGUUGUAAACCUCUUUCAGCAGGGACGAAGCGAAAGUGACGGUACCUGCAGAGAAGCACCGGCCAACUACGCGCCAGCAGCCGC
rnacentral:rRNA from 1 species